rnacentral:rRNA from 1 species
CUUGCUUUCUUUGCUGGCGACCGGCGUACGGGUGAGUAACACGUAUCCAACCUGCCCUUUACUCGGGGAUAGCCUUUCGAAAGAAAGAUUAAUACCCGAUAGCAUAAUGAUUCCGCAUGGUUUCAUUAUUAAAGGAUUCCGGUAAAGGAUGGGGAUGCGUUCCAUUAGGUUGUUGGUGGGGUAACGGCCCACCAAGCCUUCGAUGGAUAGGGGUUCUGAGAGGAAGGUCCCCCACAUUGGAACUGAGACACGGUCCAA